rnacentral:lncRNA from 1 species
UAGAGUCAAUUUUGGAAAUAGCCAGAAAAUUAUAGUAAAAUUAAAAACUAACCACAAAUUUUAAAAAUUAAAAAAUACCCAGAAUUACUAAUUUACCCCUAACUUAAAAAAUUAAAAAUAUACCCACUCACAAUUCACACACACUGAAGGUGUCAAUUCACAGCAACACAUAAUUACUCCCCAAUCUGUAAAAAUUCAAAUAAUUACUCUCUCUCUCUCCCUCUCUCUUUUUUCGCACCAAAUUCAAUCCUCUCAACUACUCCCUCCUUCUCUUACCGCGUGAAUCACCG